UGUUCGAGCGUCAUUACAACCCUCAAGCACUGCUUGGUUUUGGAUGUUACCAUUGUGGUGCAUCUCAAAAGUAUUGGCAGUAGCAUUCAGCUUCUAGCGUAGUAGAUUUCCUCGCUUUGGAGUUGAAGUGUCUAAUUGCUAGAACCCUUAAUUUGUCAAAGGUUGACCUCGGAUCAGGUAGGGAUACCCGCUGAACUUAA
rnacentral:misc_RNA from 1 species